rnacentral:rRNA from 1 species
AUGNCAUUAAUUUGGUGUNGNNGGGAAUCNGGACUGUUACUUUGAAAAAAUUAGAGUGUUUAAAGCAGGCNNACGCUUGAAUACAUUAGCAUGGAAUAAUGAAAUAGGACGUUNGAUNCUAUUUUGUUGGUUUCUAGGAUNGACGUAAUGAUUAAUAGGGAUAGUUGGGGGCAUUAGUAUUCAAUUGUCAGAGGUGAAAUUCUUGGAUUUAUUGAAGACUAACUACUGCGAAAGCAUUUGCCAAGGAUGUUUUCAUUAAUCAAGAACGAAAGUUAGGGGAUCGAAGACGAUCAGAUACCGUCGUAGUCUUAACCAUAAACUAUGCCGACUAGGGAUCGGAUGAUGUUAAUUUUNUAAUGACUCAUUCGGCGCCUUACGGGAAAC